rnacentral:rRNA from 1 species
ACUCCUACGGGUGGCUGCAGUGGGGAAUAUUGGACAAUGGGGGCAACCCUGAUCCAGCAAUGCCGCGUGUGUGAAGAAGGCCUUAGGGUUGUAAAGCACUUUCGUUAGUGAAGAAAGGUUUAUGGCUAAUACCUAUGAAUUUGACAUUAGCUAAAGAAGAAGCACCGGCUAACUCCGUGCCAGCAGCCGCGGUAAUACGGAGGGUGCAAGCGUUAUUCGGAAUGACUGGGCGUAAAGCGCACGCAGGCGGUUAUUUAAGUCAGAUGUGAAAGCCCCGGGCUUAACCUGGGAAUUGCAUUUGAAACUGGGUAACUAGAGUAUGUCAGAGGAAGGCGGAAUUUCCAGUGUAGCAGUGAAAUGCGUAGAGAUUGGAAGGAACACCGAUGGCGAAGGCAGCCUUCUGGGGCAAUACUGACGCUCAUGUGCGAAAGCGUGGGUAGCAAACAGGAUUAGAUACCCUGGUAGUCCACGCCCUAAACGAUGUCAACUAGGUGUUGGGCACUUAAGUGCUCGGUACCGCAGCUAACGCAUUAAGUUGACCGCCUGGGGAGUACGGCCGCAAGGUUGAAACUCAAAGAAAUUGACGGGGACCCGCACAAGCGGUGGAGCAUGUGGUUUAAUUCGAUGCAACGCGAAGAACCUUACCAGGCCUUGACAUCCAGAGAACUAAGCAGAGAUGCUAUGGUGCCUUCGGGAACUCUGAGACAGGUGAUGCAUGGGUGUCGUCAGCUCGUG